rnacentral:lncRNA from 1 species
GUACUGUGGUUAUGUGUGUACUGUGGUAUGUGUGUGUACUGUGGUAUAUGUGUGUACUGUGGUAUGUGUGUGUACUGCGGUAUAUGUGGUAUACAUGUUUACUGCGGUAUAAUUGUGUACUGCAGUAUACGUGUGUAGGCCGACUGCGAUGGUAGCAAGGGCUGGGAAAUGAGGGUAGAGAUCUGCUUUUAGACGUGUUUAACAAGAAAUUUUUUUUCAUUUUUUUUUCAAACUUUUUUUUUUUUAAUUAAAAAUUUUUGUUUUGGGGUGUUUGGUACCCAGCUGUUCAUUUCCUGUUUUUUUCAGGUGUGUACUGCCCAAACUAGCGUUUUUCUGUCUGUGUCAAAUUAUAAGCAGAUUUUAUUUGCUUUCAAGAUUGAUUGCUUGCUUGAUAUAAGAAGUAAAUGUUGUCGCUCAACUCAGCACAAAUCUUUCCAAAGGGAAUGCACUGCUUCUUCCGUAUUCUUUGUUUGUUUGUUUGUUGGUGCGCAAUGAAUUUUGUUCUGUUCAGCCUGUCGAAAGUAUAGUCGGAUAGUGGAUUAUAUUCUGUGGUCUUCAUUUGGGGUUUUUUUUGUUUUGUUUUUUAAAUUAUUAUUUACCCUGCUCAUUCCUAUCAAGUGGCGCUUUUGUGUUUAGUAGAUCUAGUAGUUCCAUCAAAAUGUGCAGUGUUUUAAAUUCUAAAGUUAAAUUUUUGUGAAAAAUGUUUCAUAGUCUUUGCUUGUAAAGAGCUAAAAGUAUUCGUCUAAGUGUAAGCCGUGAACCCUAUGAAACCUUACUGGUCUGGGUGACCCUCGUACAACAAGUUACUGUGUGUGUGAUAUGACGUGAAGAAAGCUUACAAUUUAUUCUUCUGCCCAAUUUGCGCUGAAGAUGUGGACAGAACUGUCUGGAGAAUUGGACAAAAACUUACUCUUGGCUGCAAUAUUGUUGGUGUCCCAGCUGGUCUCUUUGUACCGUAGUCCUCUUUUGGAUGUGUUGCUUGGGAAUGAGAAUUUGUUUUGAUCCUCUUCUUUAUUUAAAAAUCUGUUUCAGUUUGUCAUGAAGGAAGGGAUAGAGAAAUUAUUAAAGUAUCUUUCAAAGCUGAACAUUUUUCAGGUAUAACUUGUGUUCAUCUGAGUCAAUGCUGUGGAGUUUGACCAAAAGAUAACUAGUUGAAUGAAGAAAAUAUAACUGGUUGAAAAAUUGAAUGAAGAAAAGAUAACUGGUUGAAAAGUUGAAUGAAGAAAAGGUAACUAGUUGAUUGAAGAAAAGAUAACUGGUUGAAAAGUUGAAUGAAGAAAGAUAACUGGUUGAAAAGUUGAAUGAAGAAAAGGUAACUGGUUGAAUGAAGAAAAGGUGAAUGAAGAAAAGGUAACUGGUUGAAUGAAGAAAAAUUGAAUGAAGAAAAGAUAACUGGUUGAAUCAAGGACAGCUAGCUGGUCGAAGGAAGAAAAGAUAACUGGUUGAAUCAAGGACAGCUAGCUGGUCGAAGGAAGAAAAGAUAACUGGUUGAAUCAAGGACAGCUAGCUGGUUGAAUCAAGGACAGCUAGCUGGUCGAAGGGAGAAAAGAUAAUAGCUGAAAGAAGGAAAGAUAACUGUUGGAAGGCAUUUUGGUCGCAAGAGAAACAAGAAGAAAUGUGCCCAACUUUGGGGGUUUCCAUAGCUAGCAUAGACCAUUGAUUUGUUCAAGAGAUGAAUGGGGUUAGACCAAGCGCACUGUUUUUGUUGCACUUGCACUUUUUAAUCUUUCUUUUCUUCCAUUGGUUGUUGCAAUAUGAAUGAAUGAUCACAUGCAUUUCUGAUGAAAAGGUUAAACUAUUCACCAGUGAAUAAAAAAAGGACGGGAGUUCAAUUCCUCAGUGGGGGAAGGCUAUUUUACGGAGUGACUCUGUCUUUCUAUUAUCACUAAGAUUACUAAGAAUGUGUAUCUUCCCCCCCCCCCUCCCCCCAAGUGACAGGGUUGAAGCAAUCAAUGAAUGAGUGACCAGUGUAUUUGUUGUCUUGUAUUUGGUCAAGUAUUUGGAACCAGUGUUCUGCCACAUAUUUCCUCCUCCCCGUUGUUCAGUAUAUGUAUAUAUGGAUUACCCUCUGUCAGAGACCAAAAGAUCCUUUGUACAUUUAUUAUUAAAUUAGUUUCAGAAUAUAUGACUGGAUGAACAUUUCCUGUUGACAUCUGCACAUGUUUCAGAAGUAAAUAUCUGUGUACAUUCUUGAA